rnacentral:lncRNA from 1 species
UCUGUUUCUGAGGAGGAAGAGGGUAGGUAUGGCUGCUUGGAGGCACCCAAGGGCGUGAGACCAGGCUGGACCGGCCACACGGGGGACUCAGCCUGCUUGGAGUCCUGGCUCUGCCCUGUUGUGGCAGGUUACCUGUGCUUGCUUAUGGAAGUUCCCGGGCCUGGAAUGGAAGGGAAACUGCAGCUACGACCUACGCCACAUCUGCAGCAAUGACCGAUCCUUAACCCACCGCACUGGGUCGGGGAUGGAACCUGCACCUCCCCAGAGACGAGCCGGGUCCCCAACGCUCUGUGCCACAGUGGGAACUCCUGGAAUCUUUUGCCCGUUUUCCUUUUGCUCCCACUGUCUGUCCCACUGCUGUUGACAGGUCUGCAUAUUCUGGAUCUGGGUGCUUCAGCAACUGUACGCAGUGCAACGGUCUCUUUCCACUCAGUGGCUUGUCCUUUGCUCCUUACUAGUUGGGCGCAAGCCAGGGAUGGCUCAGGGACUCCAGCACUUCUCCCAAAGGUCCCCCAGGUCUCCCCAAAGAAUAUUCCACCUGAGUGGAAUGGCCCACUGGCCAGGCAAGCAGGCCCGAGGUCCCCGAGCCCCAGCUCUCCCUGGGGACAGCCCUCCAAUCCUCUUGGCAGAAAUAUCAUAGGAACUCCGGGCCUGCCACCGUCAGCGGCUAAGGGAGUGGAACACGCCCAGAAGAGGAGGCAGGGGUCCAGGUGCAGACCGAAGCAUGGUCCCCCCCACUCCCCGCUCCUGCAAGCAGCCGAGGGGCAGGCUUGUCACGUACGGAUUAGAUCUGGGGGUCCAGAGACCCCCCCGGGGAGUCUGACACCCUUUCCCGAGUCAGCUCCCUCGGGAGCUCGCUCCCUCCUGGCUGGUUCUGGGGGCAGGGACCUUUCCUCUCUCCGCACGCCUCCCUCGGCUCUUCCUUCACUGAUGAUCAGAAAGCCCAGUCCAUCCCCAGCGGGUGGCACCCUCCCCAGAGGGACUGUCCCUUCUCCCCUCUCACCAUCACCUCCCCGUCUCGUCCCUCCAUCCUUCGCUGCCCACCCCAGACAUACUGGGCUACCUCCCGGCUCAGGGUCCCUCCCAGGACCCCGCUCUCUGCUCUCAGCUUCCCUUCCUGCCCCCUGGGCAGAGAAACUCCCACGAAGCGGCAUCUGCUCUGCUUUCCCACCCCCAGGCCCCCCCAGCAUCUUCUUGGUCCACACGGGCUGGCUUUUGUCCCCCCCCGCCCUUGUCAAGGUUGCCCGAGAGCCACCCUUUGUCCCACCUGUGGCCCCGUGUCUACCCUGGUCCCCUGGUGUCUGCAGAGCAUCUGCCACCCGGCCCCCUCUGCCGCUCCCGCCCCCACCACACUCCCCCACCAAGCGAUUCUCGUGACACCAGAUGGCCGUCCUACAGCUGAACCCAACUCCGACACUGUCGACCUGGAGACAGCGCCACAGGUUAAGGCCUCUGGCCCGUGAGACUGUCCCCCCCGCUCAGAGCCCGAGCCCAAGGGCUUGAUCCCCGAGUGACCCACCACGUCUGCUCAACUUGGCUGCAAGUCAGAGGUUCCCACGUCCUCCUCCCUCUGGAUCCCGUCACCCGUCAGCACAGCUCUCGGAACUCGGUUUAUUACAGGAGAAAGGACGCAGGACGGCCCAGAUGAGCCGCCACGAAGAGGAAAUUACCGGGGUUUUAGGUGCUCUGUGCCAAGAACCAGGUCAGAGACCCACAUACACAAAAACACGUAACGAUAUUAAUCCACGCGUCACGUUGCUUGUGCUCCAGACAGACGCCUCACCGUUUCAAACACCCGAAAAGCGAAGAGCAGCAUGUGCUUUUCUUCAACCCCUCGCCUGGGAACCUCCACAUGUUGCGGGUGCAGCCCUCGAAAGACAAAACAAACAAACAAGCAAAAACGGUACCAAUUGCAACGGAUGGGAAGCGUCCCCAGAGCGCUGCUCCCGGGGCUUCUCGGGAACUCAGCCCAGGGCCAGCAUCCCCAUCCAGGCAGCUGAGCCCCAAGAUCAUGCGGGGCGUUGGCCCGGCCAGGACCCAUGGUUAGCCGUCUUUCUGGGAUCUUCUCCCCGUUGUAGGAGGGAGGCUCCGUCCUGGGGUCGCACGCAGUGGUGGUUGAGAGAUCGCCACGUGUCAGACCAUCCCCACGUGGUCUGGGAGCCUGAAGCCUCGCUGUGUCCAGAAUCUACCAACCCCGUGUCCCAGCGGUACCUCGGUGCACCUCCUGGACUGAGCCUUUGGCCUGAGCUCCUCCCCCAGUUCCAGGUGGGGGGUCCUGCCCCCUCCCUGCGGUUUAUGCUCCAUCGGCCUCCUGGACGAGUUAUGGUCCCUCGCUGACCUCUCGGAGGCCUCCAUCUCUCGGAGCACCCUGGGGACCUCUCAUGCAGCGUGACCUGUGCCAUCGCGUCCCUGUGACUUUGUCCCGAGGGCCAGGUUAGGGUCAAGCAGGACGAGCUUGUGGGGCGUUGAAAACACCCGUGGCAGAGGGAGUCUGGAGAGACCCAGAAGGGCGUGGCACGAAGCAAGAUUUCCCAGGGUGCGUUCCUGGCCAGAGAUGGCAGAGAGUUCCAGGGGCUGGGACUUUGGAGACAUCCGUUGGAGAAGAUGACCCGUGAGCAAAGGAAGACAGUCCAGAAAAGCAAAAUGGAGGCUCUGGGGUCACUAUCAGCCCUUUUUUUAAAAAAAAUUCUUUUUAUUUUUUGGUCAUGCCUUCCGCGUGCAGAAUUUCCCAGGCCAGGGAUUGAACCUGUGGCACAGCAGCAACCGAGCCAUGGCGGUGACAAUGCUGGAUUCUUAACCUGCUGCACCACGAGGGAACUCCAAUAUUUGUACGUUCUUGAGCCAGAGUGUUCCAGAAGUGAAGGGGGCUGCCUCGCCCAGCAGCAGGCUCCCUGUGGGUGAGCCUUUGGGAGAGACUGACUCCUGGGAUACAGAGAACUGUCUGCCAGGAUGCUUUGGAUGGCAAGUACCCAAAAAACUAAGUUCUACCCGGCUUAGACCUCAAGGGGCGGUGGUCAGCUCCCAUAUCUGAAUCGUCCAGGGGCCCAAGCGGUGGCCAUGAGAGGGGCCCUGCCUCCUGGGAACCAGCUCCAUCCUCCCAGGCUCUCCCACCUGGUGGAAAGAUACCUUUGAGCAGCCCCAAAGGUAUGCACCUUCAGGUUCAAAUCCAGCAGACAAAGAACACAUCUACUGCCAGCUAAAGCCAAAGCAGGGUUUACAUCCUAGGGCGCCCAUCUGGCCCGAGUGGGGUACACAACCUGAAUUACUGUGACCAAAGGGCUGAGAUGUUUUUAAACUGGCUCAAACCAAUCAAGGCUCACCCUGUGGGUAGAGCUGCGUCAAUGAGGAAAGUGGGGAGAAAAGCAACGAGUCCCCUCUCAGAAGGAUGGGGCAGGGAGGGCCCUAAGUUUCUAUGAUUACAAGCUCCCAGAGGACACCCGUCGCAGCACAGCGUGUCCAUAAAUAGGUGAUUAAUGAAUGCUUGUUGAGUGAAUAAAUGAAAGAAAAAGAAGGAAGGAAAGAUACAGCUCAAUAUAAAAAAAAAAAACUAUCCAAAAAAUGGGCAGAAAAGUAAAUCAAUUAUACGCCAAUAUGAAAUAAAAAUUAGGGAGCUCCUGUAGUGGCUCAGUGGUUAAUGACCCCAACUAGUAUCCAUGAGGAUGUGGGUUCGAUCCCUGGCCUUGCUCAGUGGGUUAAGGAUCUGGUGUUGCUGUGGCUGUGGUGCAGGCCGGCAGCUGCAGCUCUGAUUCGAUCCCUAGCCUGAGAACCUCCACAUGCCUUGGGUGCGGU